CCUACGGGAGGCAGCAGUGGGGAAUUUUGGACAAUGGGCGAAAGCCUGAUCCAGCCAUGCCGCGUGCAGGAAGAAGGCCUUCGGGUUGUAAACUGCUUUAGUCUAGGAAAAAGGGAUGCCUGGUUAAUACCUGGGUGUUUUGAUGGUACUGGAAGAAUAAGCACCGGCUAACUACGUGCCAGCAGCCGCGGUAAUACGUAGGGUGCGAGCGUUAAUCGGAAUUACUGGGCGUAAAGCGUGCGCAGGCGGUCUUGUAAGACAGUCGUGAAAUCCCUGGGCUUAACCUAGGAACUGCGAUUGUGACUGCAAGGCUAGAGUGUGUCAGAGGGGGGUGGAAUUCCACGUGUAGCAGUGAAAUGCGUAGAGAUGUGGAGGAACACCGAUGGCGAAGGCAGCCCCCUGGGAUAACACUGACGCUCAUGCACGAAAGCGUGGGGAGCAAACAGGAUUAGAUACCCUGGUAGUCCACGCCCUAAACGAUGUCGACUGGUUGUUGGGUGGGUAACCACUUAGUAACGAAGCUAACGCGUGAAGUCGACCGCCUGGGGGAGGUACGGUCGCGAAGAAGUUAAACGUUAAAGUUAAAGUUAGUUACGGCGUGAGACGUUGCCGACGGACGACGACGAGGGAGGAGG
rnacentral:rRNA from 1 species